UACAGAGGGGGCAAGCGUUUAUUCGGAAUUAUUGGGCGUAAAGGGCGCGUAGGCGGCAUGGCAAGUGGAAGGUGAAAUCCCUCGGCUUAACCGAGGAACUGCCCUCCAAACUGCUUUGCUUGAGGCCGGGAGAGGUGAGUGGAAUUCCCAGUGUAGCGGUGAAAUGCGUAGAUAUUGGGAGGAACACCUAUGGCGAAGGCAGCUCGCUGGGACGUUACUGACGCUGAGGAGCGAAAGCGUGGGGAGCGAACAGG
rnacentral:rRNA from 1 species